rnacentral:misc_RNA from 1 species
GAUGAAGAACGUAGCGAAAUGCGAAAAGUAAUGUGAAUUGCAGAAUUCAGUGAAUCAUCGAAUCUUUGAACGCACAUUGCGCCCGCCAGUAUUCUGGCGGGCAUGCCUGUCUGAGCGUCAUUUCAACCCUCACGCCCCUAGGGCGUGGUGUUGGGGAUCGGCCAGCGCCCUCGCGGGCGAGGCCGUCCCCUAAAUCUAGUGGCGGACCCGUCGUGGCCUCCCCUGCGAAGUAGUGAUAUUCCGCAUAGGAGAGCGACGAGCCCCUGCCGUUAAACCCCCAACUUUCUCAGGUUGACCUCGGAUCAGGUAGGAAUACCCGCUGAACUUAAGCAUAUCAAUAAGCGGAGGA